rnacentral:rRNA from 1 species
AACGAACGCUGGUGGCGUGCUUAACACAUGCAAGUCGAACGAGAACAUUUCCUUCGGGAAAUUAGUAAAGUGGCGCAAGGGUGAGUAACACGUGAAUAAUCUGCCCUCGAGAUCGGGAUAACAUGGUGAAAACUAUGCUAAUACCGGAUAAGACCACAUUUCGCAGGAAAUGCGGUAAAAGGAGUCUCAAUCUGCACUCGGGGAUGAGUUCGCGCAACAUUAGCUUGUUGGUGAGAUAAAAGCUCACCAAGGCUACGAUGUUUAGCCGGCCUGAGAGGGUGAACGGCCACACUGGAACUGAGACACGGUCCAGACUCCUACGGGAGGCAGCAGUGGGGAAUAUUGCGCAAUGGGCGAAAGCCUGACGCAGCAACGCCGUGUGAGCGAUG